GCGAGAGUGGCGGAAUUGGUAGACGCACCAGAUUUAGGUUCUGGCGGGGCAACCCGUGCGGGUUCGAGUCCCGCCUUUCGCA
rnacentral:tRNA from 1 species